UUGAACGCUGGCGGCAGGCCUAACACAUGCAAGUCGAACGGUAACAGGAAGAAGCUUGCUUCUUUGCUGACGAGUGGCGGACGGGUGAGUAAUGUCUGGGAAACUGCCUGAUGGAGGGGGAUAACUACUGGAAACGGUAGCUAAUACCGCAUAAUGUCGCAAGACCAAAGAGGGGGACCUUCGGGCCUCUUGCCAUCGGAUGUGCCCAGAUGGGAUUAGCUAGUAGGUGGGGUAACGGCUCACCUAGGCGACGAUCCCUAGCUGGUCUGAGAGGAUGACCAGCCACACUGGAACUGAGACACGGUCCAGACUCCUACGGGAGGCAGCAGUGGGGAAUACUGCACAAUGGGCGCAAGCCUGAUGCAGCUAUGCCGCGUGUAUGAAGAAGGCCUUCGGGUUGUAAAGUACUUUCAGCGGGGAGGAAGGGAGUAAAGUUAAUACCUUUGCUCAUUGACGUUACCCGCAGAAGAAGCACCGGCUAACUCCGUG
rnacentral:rRNA from 1 species